rnacentral:rRNA from 1 species
AUUGAACGCUGGCGGCAGGCCUAACACAUGCAAGUCGAACGGUAACAGGAAGCAGCUUGCUGCUUCGCUGACGAGUGGCGGACGGGUGAGUAAUGUCUGGGAAGCUGCCUGAUGGAGGGGGAUAACUACUGGAAACGGUAGCUAAUACCGCAUAAUGUCGCAAGACCAAAGGGGGACCUUCGGGCCUCUUGCCAUCGGAUGUGCCCAGAUGGGAUUAGCUUGUUGGUGGGGUAACGGCUCACCAAGGCGACGAUCCCUAGCUGGUCUGAGAGGAUGACCAGCCACACUGGAACUGAGACACGGUCCAGACUCCUACGGGAGGCAGCAGUGGGGAAUAUUGCACAAUGGGCGCAAGCCUGAUGCAGCCAUGCCGCGUGUAUGAAGAAGGCCUUCGGGUUGUAAAGUACUUUCAGCGGGGAGGAAGGGAGUAAAGUUAAUACCUUUGCUCAUUGACGUUACCCGCAGAAGAAGCACCGGCUAACUCCGUG